ACCGCUAUUGCGUGCGGAGGGACUUUCCGUCAAUGAGAAAUUAUUUUGCGUAGAGUGGACGAUGAGAAACCAUGCUGAAAUGGGACGGAAUAGUGGCAUUUUUGGCGAUUAAUGUUCCAGGAAUUCUAUGUGUUUUUCACACUGCAGAAUGUACAGUCACCACUCCAUGUACAUGAGACAUCAAUGAACAUUUAGGCUUGACUGACCCUGGGUUUCUUUGAAUGACAUGGCGACCAACGAGCAGUAUGCCAAAAUUAUUGUGAAAGCCAUAUUGCUUGUUAUGCAAGCUGUGGGAAUAUUCGUCAGGCCGAGUUCAAAGGUGUUUGGGCGCGCUGCUAAGGAAGCAGCUGACGCGCUCCGAGGAUCCUCAAAAUUGCGGAAAGCGAUGAAAGUCUUUGUCAUAGCCUGGAAUGGAAGUGAUAGUAACUUCUCGAAAACUAAAGCACUUGUCGACCUCAUCAAAGACACUAACGCCGCAGGCAUCCUCAUGACCAUCAUCAAGAACAUAUGUAGCGAGAUGUCUUGGUAUGAGUGGCUUCUCGCAGCAGCUCAAGUUACCGCCAUGAUUACAGCUGUUCUUGCUACCGGCAGGGCUGUUCUGAUAGCUGAGAUUGCCCUCGUUGUCAUGUUGGCUACGGACUUAGCAAUGGACAUUGCUAAUCUUUGACGUAACUUUUCGUGACACUCGGUUUCCCUAUUCAUCUCAGCUUAUACAAGAUUGUCAAGAACACGCUUCUUUAGACAGGCCUGGUGGUCAAUUAUAGAACAUCUGAUGAAGAAAUUGCGAGCGAGUCAGUUUUCUAAAGUUUUCGAUGUCCGAAAUUUGUGUCCGUGGUUGUAGUUGGCUAAUUGAGAUGUAUACAUUAAUAUGUGGGUUUUUUUUGCUUAACUUCUAUAAAAUCAAGAAAACAAUAGAUUUAUGAUCUUUAAACGAAAAGGAAGAAGACAAUGUUAGCUGGAAACGAUAAAUUGCUCAGUAGCGCCGUAGCCUAUGUAUGUUUAAAUGUGUUUUGUUAGUGAAAUAAAUUUAUUCUGAGACUUAAAUACAAAUUUAUGUGUCACGUUACAUUUACCAAAAUAUUCUGAUAUUUGCGAUGUAUA